UACGAAGGGUGCAAGCGUUAAUCGGAAUUACUGGGCGUAAAGCGUGCGCAGGCGGUUGUGUAAGUCAGAUGUGAAAUCCCCGGGCUCAACCUGGGAAUUGCAUUUGAGACUGCACGGCUAGAGUGUGUCAGAGGGGGGUAGAAUUCCACGUGUAGCAGUGAAAUGCGUAGAGAUGUGGAGGAAUACCGAUGGCGAAGGCAGCCCCCUGGGUCAAGACUGACGCUCAUGCACGAAAGCGUGGGGAGCAAACAGG
rnacentral:rRNA from 1 species